rnacentral:lncRNA from 1 species
GGAGUAAUUACUCAGAUCAAGGCCUGAAGUACCUUCUUCAAAAUCCACUGUUAGUAGUACCAAAUUAGUCUUCAAUGGAAUCUUCUUCGAAUCACAAUCAUCUUUGUCGAACAUAGAAAACUGCUUCUAAUAAUCCUUUGAGAAAUCAAUUGGAUUGGGUCAUCAAUGUACUUCCAUUACCGGUUCUGAGAAUCUGGUAUU